CCACGCCCUAAACGAUGUCUACUAGUUGUCGGGUCUUAAUUGACUUGGUAACGCAGCUAACGCGUGAAGUAGACCGCCUGGGGAGUACGGUCGCAAGAUUAAAACUCAAAGGAAUUGACGGGGACCCGCACAAGCGGUGGAUGAUGUGGAUUAAUUCGAUGCAACGCGAAAAACCUUACCUACCCUUGACAUGUACGGAACCCUGCUGAAAGGUGGGGGUGCUCGAAAGAGAGCCGUAACACAGGUGCUGCAUGGCUGU
rnacentral:rRNA from 1 species